GCUAUGACUACCAUUACUAGAUAACUAGCACUCCCCAACUGUUUAAAAAGCAAUAACGAUGCCUUUGUCUUCACAGCAAAACCCUAUAGACUGAAUCCUGACAUUGAGCCCAUCAGAGGUUGUUAAAUAAUAAAUCAUGGCGCUGCUUCUGUGAUCUAGCAACAGAGUGGAUAAGAGCAGGAAAUCUAGAGGCAGAUCCACUCCUGGAGGGCCUUGGAUGGGAUCCAGGACACACUCGUGUGAUGAGGACAUUCAAGAUGCUGGCCUGCCAAGCAGCGGUGUUUCCUCAUUGGUUCACUCCUUUCCUUAUCUUUUUCUACCUCUAGCUCCCACAAUGACAAAAAUCUACUCCCUGGCAGGCUAAGACAUGCUCUGAGAAUUCUGAUAUUUCUCUACCCCCUCUUUUAUUUCUACUUUCUGGAAAAUAAUAAAAUGGUCCUUAA